rnacentral:rRNA from 1 species
GAUGAACGCUAGCGGCAGGCCUAAUACAUGCAAGUCGAACGGGCGGUAGCAAUACCGCUAGUGGCGCACGGGUGCGUAACGCGUAACCAACCUGCCCAGAUCUGGGGGAUAGCCCGCCGAAAGGCGGAUUAAUACCGCAUAAACCCACAGUGUGGCAUCACAUAAUGGGUAAAGAUUUAUCGGAUCUGGAUGGGGUUGCGUAGCAUUAGCUAGUUGGCGGGGUAAUGGCCCACCAAGGCGACGAUGCUUAGGGGACCUGAGAGGGUGAUCCCCCACACUGGCACUGAGAUACGGGCCAGACUCCUACGGGAGGCAGCAGUAGGGAAUAUUGGGCAAUGGGCGAGAGCCUGACCCAGCCAUGCCGCGUGCCGGAUGAAGGCCUUCUGGGUUGUAAACGGCUUUUCUCAGGGAAGAAAACGGGGAUGCGUCCUCAACUGACGGUACCUGAGGAAUAAGCACCGGCUAACUCCGU